CUACGGGGCGCUGCAGUGGGGAAUAUUGCACAAUGGGCGCAAGCCUGAUGCAGCAACGCCGCGUGGAGGAUGACACUUUUCGGAGCGUAAACUCCUUUUAUAUAGGAAGAAGAUGACGGUACUAUAUGAAUAAGCGCCGGCUAACUCCGUGCCAGCAGCCGCGGUAAUACGGAGGGCGCAAGCGUUACUCGGAAUCACUGGGCGUAAAGAGCGUGUAGGCGGAUUAAAAAGUCAGAAGUGAAAUCCUAUAGCUUAACUAUAGAACUGCUUCUGAAACUCUUAAUCUAGAAUAUGGGAGAGGUAGAUGGAAUUUCUGGUGUAGGGGUAAAAUCCGUAGAGAUCAGAAGGAAUACCGAUUGCGAAGGCGAUCUACUAGAACAUUAUUGACGCUGAGACGCGAAAGCGUGGGGAGCAAACAGGAUUAGAUACCCCCGUAGUC
rnacentral:rRNA from 1 species